GGUGGCAGUGUGCACCCUGAACGAUUGUCUGUAACCCGUCAAACAAACAGAAGAAGAAGAGGCUGCUGGCGCAUGCGCAGUCGCUGCGAGUUUCCGUGCGAGGACUGCUGUCAGUCACUGGGACACCGCCAUGUCCAAAGAGCAACAGACCCCCCGUGAGCCCGAGCAGCUCCGAAAACUGUUCAUCGGGGGCCUCAGUUUCGAGACAACGGACGAGAGUCUAAGAGCCCACUUCGAGCAAUGGGGGACUCUUACAGACUGUGUGGUGAUGAGGGACCCCAACACCAAGAGGUCGAGGGGUUUUGGGUUUGUGACCUAUAGUUCGGUGAAUGAGGUGGAUGCAGCGAUGGACGCUCGUCCGCACAAAGUGGACGGAAGAGCUGUUGAACCCAAGAGGGCGGUGUCUAGAGAAGACUCGUCCAGACCAGGUGCUCACUCCACUGUUAAAAAGAUGUUUGUGGGCGGAAUCAAAGAAGACACGGAUGAGGAACAUCUGCGCGAGUAUUUCAGCCAGUUUGGUAAAAUAGAGGAGGUGAACAUCAUGACUGAGAAGAACAGUGAUAAGAGGAGGGGCUUCGCCUUCAUAACAUUUGAUGACCAUGAUGCUGUUGACAGGAUUGUCAUACAGAAAUACCACACAGUGAAUGGACACAACUGUGAAGUCAGGAAAGCUCUCUCCAGAGAGGAAAUGAACAGGGUGUCGGUUAAUCAACGAGGUGGUAGAGGAGGAGGAGGUGGUGGAGGAGGAGGUGGUAGCGGUGGCGGUGGAAACUUUGGCAGAGGUGGAGGUGGAGGCUAUGGAGGUGGAUAUGGAGGAGGAAGAGGUGGUUACGGUGGAGGUGAUGGAUAUAAUGGCUACGGAGGGAAUGGUGGCUAUGGUGGAGGUGGACCUAAUUACGGAGGCAACCGCGGUUAUGGAGGAGGCGGCGGAGGUGGUGGUGGUGGUGGCUAUGGAAACCAGGGUGGAGGCUACGGUGGCGGCGGUGGCUAUGAUAACUACAACAGUGGAGGUGGAGGCAACUUCGGAGGAGGCAACUUUGGAGGUGGCGGGGGCUACAACGACUUCGGCAGCUACAACAAUCAAUCUUCCUCUAACUACGGCCCGAUGAAGGGAGGAAACUAUGGAGGUGGUGGAAGGAGCGGUGGUGGUGGAGGCCCAUACGGCGGUGGUUAUGGAGGAGGCUCUGGUGGUGGUUAUGGAGGAGGCUCUGGUGGGCGAAGGUUUUAGAUUCCAGGGAGUAUAAACUGGUGGACAGUUUGACUGUAACAGUAACCGCCAAUACAAAUGGCUGCUGAUCUCGAAGGGUAGCUAAAGACUGACGCCAGCCCAAAACGACAACUGUAAAAACGUAACAUUUUAAUUAUUUUACCAUUUUAUCCACGUUGGCAGAUGGUCAAAAUAUUUGAGUUGAUUGUCAGAGCACAGGGUCAAACACCAAGCAAUAGCUGCUGGACAGCAUUAGAAAUGUUUUAACUUUUUUUUUUUUUUAAGUCAUUUUUACAGUGUUUUAAUAAAAAAUGCUUUAUUUACCAAUGCCGUGAUUUUACAGAUUGUAUUUCAUGAGUUUUCCUGUCAGCUUCGAUUGAAAGCAAUAUAACAGGCCAUAGAAAAAUGUAUCAAUGUGGUUGAUGGACCUUGAACAAAUAUUUUAAACGUGAGCGGUAUUGCACAAAAGAAAGGUAACGGAUGAAGCUGGGAUUUUCUAGUUAGUUGAAAAUUAGCCUGGACUCAGUUACAUGAAAGCAGUAUAAAUUAUGUUAGUAUCGAGAUGUAUUUUCUGCAGCUAGAGACUAAGAACUGUAAAUAUGUUGCAUCAAUUUAAUUAUCCUGCAUUAAAAUACUUGAUAUACUGUCAUCUAAGUAUGCCUAUUUUAGUGAUAUUAUGAAUGUUGCUAUCAGAGGAUUGAUUAAUACAUUUAUUGUUGCAAUUGUUGAGAUUAUAAAAAAAUAAAAAGAAGUUGCAAAGGUGG